GACGAACGCUGGCGGCGUGCUUAACACAUGCAAGUCGAGCGGAAAGGCCCUUCGGGGUACUCGAGCGGCGAACGGGUGAGUAACACGUGAGUAACCUGCCCUAGGCUUUGGGAUAACCCCGGGAAACCGGGGCUAAUACCGGAUAUGACCUGGUGCCGCAUGGUGUUGGGUGGAAAGUUUUUUCGGCCUGGGAUGGGCUCGCGGCCUAUCAGCUUGUUGGUGGGGUGAUGGCCUACCAAGGCGAUGACGGGUAGCCGGCCUGAGAGGGCGACCGGCCACACUGGGACUGAGACACGGCCCAGACCCCUACGGGAGGCAGCAGUGGGGAAUAUUGCACAAUGGGCGGAAGCCUGAUGCAGCGACGCCGUGUGAGGGAUGAAGGCCUUCGGGUUGUAAACCUCUUUCAGCAGGGACGAAGCGUGAGUGACGGUACCUGCAGAAGAAGCGCCGGCCAACUACGUG
rnacentral:rRNA from 1 species